UUUUAGGUUAAAUCCAAUAAAAACUAUUUUAGGAAAUAUUUAAUGAAAAUAUAUAAAUAAUAUAAAUUUUAUUCCGUAUUUCCCCACCAUAGGUUACUAAGUGAAGAUGCAUUUGUCGUUACCAACAAUUUAGGUAAUACGUCUAACUCAAUUUUGGCCAAAAAUAGACAUGAGGAAUAAGGUUUUUCUCAAAUUACUGAUUCAAUUAUUACUCUGUUGACAAGAAUAUUGCAAGGUGUGAAAAUUGUGAACGGGUAAUUGAAUAUUUUUCAGCAAGUAGCAGUAAACUAAAAAUACAAACGACCAAAAAGGAGAAAACUUAUUUGAAUUUGUUUUACGAGCGCAAUGGGGAAAAAUGUUCCAGAAGUAAUAGUAGUAGAGUGUUUCAAAAUUAUGGCGAUUCGAGGACAGAUCGUUAUAUACCGUCUCCAAAAAGUAUAACAACUUAUGGUGAUACCCAGAUUAUCGAUGACGAUGUCGAUUCAAUGUAUUUGAAAAGUAAUAUUUCAGAAUCGGAAAUAAGUUGUAACUGCGAAAAAGUAAAUUCCUUAAUGGUACCGGAAUUGCAUCUCAAUUCAAACAGCAGCUUAAAGUAUCAAAGUUUAUCUGAUGUUAACUUUAACAGUUACAAAUCCCCUCAAUUGAUUGUUUGCCAAAAAAAUCGGAGUGUAUAUAAAACGAACAAUAAUAAUUUCAGUACAGUUGGAUCGGUACCAGUAAAUGAUAAAUUGGAAUCUUGGAAAAGAAGACAACAAUAUGGUAGGAAAGUUAGUGAAUCUAAUCGAAUAAAGAUGAACGAAAGAAGAAUUUUGAGAAAUUUGGAAAGGGAACUUCAAAAUUCAAAAAUAUGUGUGUAGUAUAUCUUCAAGUUGACUGUUUUUGUAAAAUACCAUUUAAGGGAGAAGUACAUAUGAAUGUCAUUUUUGAUAUUAGUCUGAUGAUGCUAGAAAAUUGUUAAAGUUUAGUUUAUCAAGUUUCUACAUAUAAUUAUAUCCAGAUUCCAAUACAGUCCAGCAUUUUAUUAUAAUGGUUUUACCAUAAAAGAAUAUUCUCCAAAUAAAUUUUCUUGAAAUUACUUCACACUUUCUACAUUUCUAGCCUCAGAGGCUAAUGUACCUAUACUCUCCUUUUCCAUUAAAAAACCUAUAAAUGUAAGGAUUUAACUAAAAAACAUGACUUUUAUAUAUUCUUUAUUAAUGUUUGUAAUUACAAACAAUCGCUAUUGGUACCCAGUGCAAUUAAGCAGACAAAAAUCUCUUAAAUUUAUGUGGCCCCUUAGUUAAAAAAAACAUUUUACGGUUGCACAUAAUAUUGUAGUUACAUAAAUUACAAAAUAUAUAUAAACGAAAUGCACAAAAAUACAUAUUUAACAAAUAAUAAAAAAUCAUUUUGGAAAGAAAUAUUUUUGUACAUUUUGUAUGAAAGAAUUGAUGUUAAAAAAGAUAGAAGGGUAAAUUUUAUACGUCAAAUUUGUGACUACUUGAUUUAUAAAAAUUUAAUUACUGUUGUCUGCCGAAAAAAAAAAUGUAAUUAUAAAAUUUGGCACCAUCUUUUUCGAUUUUAGUACCACUUUUAUAAGACUGAGUUCUAAGUACACAUUAGGCCACUGCUGCUACGUAACAUGUUUUUUCGAGUAGCAAUCAUAUCAAAUCAAGUUUAUGUACAUGCUGAUACAUAAAACGAAUUACCCCUCUAGUUUUUUCAGCAUUUCUCCAAAUAAGUAAAUAUAAAUUACUUAUUGACUGGAAAAUUCAUUACAUUAUCUUAUAACUGUUUUAGAUAAUUUAGUAAAUUUUCAUUUAGUCUAUUUUUCAAUUUCAUUUAAGUAUAGUAAAUAUACUUUAACUUCGCAACGCUCUAUAUACAAAAAUAGGGAUUUAUUUAAAAUUAAAAAUAGAAAGCUGAUAGUAGUAGAGUCCAAACGUGAUUUUGGGACUAGAUCAAACCCGACAAAUUAAUAUUUUGUAAGAAAUCGUUGAUCUUCAGAAAUAUUUGAACAUGUCAGAUUAAAGUAAUUUGGGUUAAUUGAAGAAGAGUCAAAAAAUUUUUAUUUGAUAUUUUCGAGUGAGAUUGUUUUUAUUUUUAUUUGUAGAAAAUAAUACAAAAAUAAAUUUCUACAACUUGUAGUUGCCAAAAUCGUUGAUAAAUUUUAGUGGGUGCAGCUGGAGUGAAGCAUAUGUUUUCCACUCCUCAUCUGUCUUUAUCUUCCACUUUUUCUGUCUGAUUCUCUCAGAUACAAAUAUGUUUCCUCUAAUGAAUAUAAAGAUGGACAAAAAAUUUUUUUAAUUGUUUAAUUUUAAUUAAAAAAUCUACAGAAUUUUUCAUAUUAUAACUGACACAGGCGCAUGCCAUCUGUUGGUGUCAGUCGUUUAUGUUUAUGUAGUGGAAAUUAUAGAAAUAGUACAUCUAUUGGGUAACCGUUGAACUAGUUCAAGGCAUUUCUGGAAAAACUUGGCUGUUAAUAUAGAAGGUUCUACCAUGUUUUGGAACAUUACUUGUAUAAAGCAGGAGUAUAGUAUAUACGAGUGGUAUAAAGUGAUAUAUUUUCGAAGUGACAAUUACUAAAUUGUUAAUAGUAUUCUAAAUUAGUGUUAUAAUUGUCGUUCAAUAAAGUUCUGAGUGUUUACUAAUUUUAUCAAAAAACCAUACUCGAGAAAUGAUAAAAUAUUUUUAUUCCUAAACGCUUUCUUGGCAUAAAAUAUUUUCAACCAUCAGUUCUAGAAAACUCUUUGGAAUAUCCGUCAUAUUUUUUAAUAGCAUGACUGGAAUCAUUAGUAUUUGAAUUUUCAGGACUUACAUAACAUUGUCUUUGAACUGAUACACUUGAAUAUUUUUUUUCCUGCUGUCUCUCCUAGCAGUUAAAUAAAACUUCGUUAUAUAGACAGGUUGGAAUACCAAAACUAUUAAUAUCUGACACUACAGAAAGGAGAAAUAUUAAAAAACCUUCCACUCUUUCUGUAAUCUAAAAUAUUCUCCAUUUUUCUCAAGAAAACCCAAAUUUCUACUAUUGGACUCCCCUACUGUAAAAUCUUCGAUAAAAAAAUUAAUACUGAACAUAGACAACUGAAAAUUCCAAACAACAAUAAAUAUAUUAGUUAAUAUUAACUUAUCAAAACAUUUGUUUAGGUUUGUUAACAUUUUCUAUGGGUAUAACUUUUGUAUUUGUUUUGGCAUUAAUAUUUUGUCGGUUGUUUGCUCUAUUUUCCAAAUCAUUCGGAUUUUUCUUAGAUAUUUAGGAUCUAAAUUCUAAAAACGUAAAGCUUUGGGAAAUUCUGGAAAUAUUACAUGGACAUCUCUUUCUUCAUGUAAAGGUAUAUAUAAUAGUUUUAUUUUAGCUCCUUGGAAUUGUUUUCAUAUUUACUCUCAUUCUUUCCCUUGCCGUGAGUUCUUACUAUUAUGACGAUAUACUGUGAAUUGAAUACCCGUAUAAAUUUCUAUCUGUUUUAUCUUCUCUUGUUCUUAGCCUAUUCUCUCUAAGUUGUUUCCUAAGACAUUCUGCUGUAUAUACUUCUGUUGAACAAGAAUAUUUCUUUUGUUAAUUGUUUCAGAUAUGGUUUGGUUUGAUUUCCUUCUUGACAAGCAACUUAGCAAGACAUUUGUUUACUUCUGUUCAUUAUACACCACUGUACUUCACAUUUAUCACAUACAUGAAGAUUUUUUCAAUUAUUGACUUUAACUUUCAAAUUUAUUUUUUUUUGUAUUUCUCUUUCUGUUGUUUUUUCUCUUUGUAUACCUGAAUCAAUUAAUAUAUAUUUCAUUUUCUAUCGUUCCUAUUCUAUUCUCUUUAAGUUGUCUUUUUGGUUCUGUAUAACAUCUUUGCCACUAUGUUCUAUGUAUAUUUUUGGAAGGUUAUCUCAUUGAAAAUGUUUUAGAGUCCCUUUCUGUGAAUUGCUUCUGUUUUUUCUUCGUCCCUUUUCAGUUAAUUUCUUUACGGUUUCUUCUUAUAGCAGUUUCUAGGUAUUUUCACUAACUUCUACUCUUGUUAACUAUCUAUAUCGUACAUUGUUUUUUAAAAGAAUAAAAAUGAUUGUAAGGAA